GACCCGGUGGCGGAUGGUCCGCGCUUGCAUCUGAUAGUGCUGUGAUAGUGAUGUGACUUGAUGCAGGAGCGCUCGUUCGAAUCGAGGCUGGGUCG